rnacentral:rRNA from 1 species
CGUGCAGGCGGUUUGGUAAGUUGGAUGUGAAAGCUCCUGGCUCAACUAGGAGAUGUCGUUCAAAACUGCCAGACUAGAGGACGGUAGAGGAAGGUAGAAUUCCUGGUGUAGUGGUGAAAUGCGUAGAUAUCAGGAGGAAUACCAGUGGCGAAGGCGGCCUUCUGGGCCGUUCCUGACGCUAAGACGCGAAAGCAUGGGUAGCGAACG